rnacentral:pre_miRNA from 1 species
GAGAAGAAUCUGUAAAGCUCAGGAGGGAUAGCGCCAUGAUGAUCACUAUUCACAUAAUCAAUAUGAUGAUUAUAUUUGGCGCUAUCCAUCCUGAGUUUCAUUGGCUCUUCUU